UUGAAGAUUCAGCCUGCUAUAAGGGAUGAGUUUCAAUUCGUCAUUUGGGUAACUGUUCCCAAGAUUUUAAAUCUGACAGAGUUGCGGCUAGAAAUUGCAAGACAAUUGCCUUUGUCUGAUAAAAAGUCUAUAUACAGAGAGACUCUUUUGAGUUUUCUAAAGCGCGUCAAGUUUUUUCUGAUUCUGGAUGGUGUUCAUGAGUUUAUUGGCUUGAACACAGUGGGAAUCCCUAAGCCAACUCCAGAAAAUGGGUGCAAGAUAGUNNUUUAACUACUAGAUCAGGGCAAAUUUGUGACAGAAUGUUAGUGGACUUGAAGAUAAAUGUGGAGG
rnacentral:misc_RNA from 1 species